GGGAAAGGAGCCUCCACGAGCUCUGACAACUGGCUCUCCAUUCCUGAAAAUUAUGCGGGCGCGAGGGAAGAAGGAAGCAAAUAGAAAUCUAGGGGGAAAACAGAAGAGCGAGCCCCGGAUGGGGCAGAGACGGAGGCGGCGUGGCCAGGGGCCGGGACGGAGAAGGCAGCAGGGGAGGAGCAAAGCCCUGACCACACCACAGCCAUCAGCACUGGAAUGCAAACACCAGAAUAAACCUGUGGAAGCCACCACCAAGCCCGGGCAGUUUCAGGCUGCACCUCAUACGCAGGGCUCCAGCAGUGGCCAGGAAGAAAACCUCCCCCUCUGAAGGUUGUUUUUGUGACUGUUCUUUGGAGCAUUGUUCUAAAAAUGGGAAAUUACAUGUUCCUGUGCCAAAGGAAACAAGCACCUGCAGUUAGAGGAAGACCUUCCACGAGGUGGCUUUUAGAGCCCCAGCCACUUCAGGACGCAGGGCUGCCAGAGAAAUUCCAUUUGGUGCGUUUCUUCACUUCUAAGGGCAUCGGGUGUGGGCUUAUGUUUGUAACCAGAGUGGGCUUUGGCAACUUUAGGGGUCUGGUGAUUGUCCUCUACUCCUUCGCUCAAUAAACAUCUAUCA